UUAAUGGUGGGGAAAAAAUCGGGGUCCGUUUUAGCUCCGAGAAGUUAUCAACUUAUUAUUGUAAUCAAUUAUUCCGCUCAUGCCCAAUCGUUUGAAGGUCCUUUGCAGGUCUAUGAUAGAUAAGAAUUAUUGUUUGAUCGAUCAUCGUUUUUUUUAAAUGAGUUUUUCAAAAAAAUGAAAUAUUUCUACGGAAGUUAUCAUCUUUUUUUUUUUAAUUUAGCCCUAGAAUGUUGAAUGACCGCUCAAACGAUCGAGAAUCGUUUGCAGGUGAUUGAUAGAUGAUCAUCAAUCCCCUACAAAACACUAAUUAUGAAUUAUUGAUUAAAAAUCAUUUUGAGGUUACUGAGCUCAGCGGCGGCGGAGUAGGGAGGUCGCCAUAUUGCAUCCAACAGCUGAUUGCUGCUGCCAUUUUUAUGCGUAGCAGGAUGUUAUUCACAUUUCGAUGCUUCUAAUUUUCUAUAAUGUGUAUUUAAUUCAUAACCAGUUUGCAUGGCAACCGAUUGAAUGAAAUGGAUUAUUCGAAAAGCCACUAAAAAAGGAUCAACGAUUAUAUGUCAAGUCUUGUGAUCAUUUUGCAUCUGGAGAGCUCGAGAGGAUUCAUAGUUGAUGAAUUUUGCUGAAGAUCUUUCCCAGUAGUAAACUAGUUGAGAAUUUUUCUUUAUUUAAAAGAUAAGACUUGAAUAAAUUUUGUAAUCAUUAUAUUUUUUUAUUGAAAAACAAAUAAAUAUUCAUCUUUGAUAGAAUAA